UCAACCUUUCCCUCUCCAGCGGCUGGGCUGGGUGGUCACUCCUUCUCCCUGCUAGCCUCAAGAAGUAAUGGAAAGGGGAGGGGGUUCUCCUCUCCCCAAGUCCUAGACGCCUCAGUUAUAUACACAUCUACACCCACUCACACUCUUCACCAUCCAGGAGCCCUCUCCUGCCCAUCUCUAUUCCUUCAGGUGUAAGACCAGCCACCUUCCUUUUAGCCACACCACCAUGGAACAAAGUCCCAGAAUGUUGCUCUCCUAAGUCUCUCGAGCUUGUUUCCUCCUCACUCCACCCCUACCUAUCCCACCUCUGCCCCCCCAGCUUUUCUCAUCAACUUUGCACCCUCCCCUCACUGAGUCUCCAGAUUCCUGGGGGGGCCCCAAGAGGGUUAUGACCAAAGCUCCUGCAAAGGGUCACCCUGGGCAGAUCUGUAGCAGAUUAGGUCAUAAUUAAAAGGCCAGAGGCACUGGGAAAUUCCUUCUCCUUAUUGAUCCCAGCGGGAAAUUAAAGCCAGUUGUUUGUGACUGAGUGGCUGAUGAAGGCUGCAGCUCCUCCCCAUUGCCUGGUUCCAGGGUCCUAGCCCCUGCUCCUUGCCUCUAGGCAUCUCCAUCCUCCUUGGUUAGUCCCCUUCCCCAGGCCCCUCCA
rnacentral:lncRNA from 10 species